rnacentral:tRNA from 2 species
GCAGGUGUAGUUCAAUGGCAGAACCCCAGCCUUCCAAGCUGGUUAUGCGGGUUCGAUUCCCGUCACCUGCUCCA